AAUAAGCGCAACCAUGUGUUUAAUGUCUAACUUUGAUCGUCCGUUUUAUUUUAAAUUUUUUAUGAUUAGUAUUUUUAUUGUUAUUAGAUUAUAAAACACAAAUAGUACUUUAUGUGUGACUUAUGUUCUUUAGUUUUUUCAAAAAAUUUUUAAAUAAAACGGAUGAUUAAAGUUGGACACGGAAAUUCAUGGCUACGCUUAUU
rfam:Oryza barthii chromosome 4, whole genome shotgun sequence.